AAGCAGCCGCCGGAAUUGUACGGGUAUCAUUGAUGUUGAUAAAUAUGGAGUUGAAUACCGUUGCUUA
rnacentral:tRNA from 1 species